AUACAGAGGGUGCAAGCGUUGUUCGGAAUUAUUGGGCGUAAAGGGCGCGCAGGCGGGAUUGCAAGUCGGAUGUGAAAUCCCUCGGCUUAACCGAGGAAGUGCGUUCGAAACUGCAGUUCUUGAGUGUCGGAGAGGGUGGCGGAAUUCCUGGUGUAGAGGUGAAAUUCGUAGAUAUCAGGAGGGACACCAGAGGCGAAGGCGGCCACCUGGACGAACACUGACGCUGAGGCGCGAAAGCGUGGGGAGCAAACAGGAUUAGAUACCCUGGUAGUCCACGCCGUAAACGAUGAGAGCUAGCUGUUGCGGGUGUUGACCCCUGCAGUGGCGCAGCUAACGCAUUAAGCUCUCCGCCUGGGGAGUACGGCCGCAAGGCUAAA
rnacentral:rRNA from 1 species